rnacentral:rRNA from 1 species
UCUCACGACACGAGCUGACGACAGCCAUGCAGCACCUGUGCUCCAGGCUCCGAAGAGAAGGUCACAUCUCUGCGACCGGUCCUGGACAUGUCAAGGGCUGGUAAGGUUCUGCGCGUUGCGUCGAAUUAAACCACAUGCUCCACCGCUUGUGCGGGCCCCCGUCAAUUCCUUUGAGUUUUAAUCUUGCGACCGUACUCCCCAGGCGGAAUGCUUAAAGCGUUAACUGCGCCACUGCCGGGUAAACCCGCCAACGGC